UCCUCCAUGGGUGGUGAUGGAUGGUGUUGGUGGGUGACCCUAAUGGGUGUCUAUGGUUGGUGGCCCCAGGCGGUGGUUGAGGGUGGCUCCGGGGGGUCCCUGGGUUGAUGUCCCCAGUGGGGUGGAUGUUGUCCCCAUAGUGUGGGUGUCCCCAUUGUGCAGGUGUCCCUGUUGUGCUGGUGUCCCCAUAGUGUGGGUGUCCCCAUUGUUGGGGUGUCCCCAUAGUGUGGGUGUCCCCGGUGGGUGUCCCAUUGUUGGGGUGUCCCUGUUGUGC